ensembl:lncRNA
GGCCUUUGGCCGUGCCGCCCCGCUGCCUGGCUGCUGAGAGUUGCUCCUGCCGCUGGGGGGGAAACCGAGCUCUGUGGCUCCAGGGGUGUUGUCCACCCGCCUGUAAUCAGGGUCUGGGUGCGCGAGCGUUUGUGCUCUGCUGGCAGCCUGUGUGGGGUGACCGCCCCGCUAGCGGGGUGUGGGUCGAGGUGCCCCGGACUGGGAGAGAAGGAGCCUCCCUCGGCCGUAGGGAUGGGGGCUGCCCUGUAAGUCAGGGAGCAUCUGUGUCCCGGAGUCCCAGGCCCUUUUCAAUGGCGGCAGUGGCCGGGGGUCCCCUGUAAGCAGGGAAGCUGACUCUUUGGCUGCUGCUUUUUGUGUGCCCAGCCCCAUUUGCCCAGUCUGCCCGCCUCUGUGAUCCCCCGCAGCACUGGCUGGAAGUCCGCCGCGUGUCAGUGAGGAGCUGCUGCAGAAGGAAGAAGAAGAAGCGGCGUGGGGACCUGGGAGGCAGGAGCAAGCAAGAAGAGGAAGCGGAAGCGUGCAGAUGCGGGGGGGAAGGAGAGAGGCUCCCUGGGCAAAGCACCUGUCCCGUUAGCAGGGGCACAGUCACGUUUGAGUUGAGAGCUGCCGGCGCCUUUGGUGACCAGGCUGGCGUUGUGCUGGGCGACCUCCCCGUAAGCGGGGCUCGGGUCUUUGCUGUAGUUGGCCUUUUGCCUUGCUGCUCCUUGGGCUGCCUGGGGAGCGUGGCCCCCUGUAACGGAGGGCGAGAGCCACCUCUCCGCACCUGAGUGGGAAAUGGAGCUCGCCGGACCCCAAGGCCACCCUGUAAGCAGGGUAGUGCCGUUUCCCUGCCCCUCUUCCUCCCCGGCCCCUCGGCAUCGUUGCCUGAUGGUGGCUUGUCAACGCGACGGCCCCGUACUCGGGGUGUGCGUCACGGCUUUGGCCGCUGGCUUUACCUGAGAAGCCCCUUGGCACGUUGAGGUCUGUGGCCUCCGUGCAGCCUAGGGACAGGUCACAGGCUCUUGUCUGUUGCCCGUGGUUGUGGGUUUAUUCCCAGGUGUUGGCUGUGCUGCGUUGUCCUUCCCUUCUGGAAAGUCGUGCCUGUGUGUGCGUGUUCCCCUUCCUUUCCUUGUUUGUGUUUGUGGAGUGGUUGAGCGGCUGUGCUUUCCCUUUAGGCCUCCACAAAGAUGGCUGCAGCUUAGCUUUGACUUCCCGGGGGGAAUGGAGGACUUUGGUGCAUGCCGCAAAAGGGGUGUUCCCUCUUAGUCCUGCGAGCGCAGCGAGUGUCCUGUCUUCCUACUAUUUUCCUUAGUGCAGAUCAGAGCCACACGGUAGUUCUGUGGCCAAGGCCUCCCUGUAGCCAGGGCUUGGGCCUGUCCUUGCGUGGCCGCCUGUCCUGCUGGCGGCGGUGACAGCCCCGUACUCGGGGUGUGUGUCCCAAGCUUCGGAGCCCUCUGUCCCUGAGCAGCCCGCCCGCCCUGUAAUCAGGUGUGGGGAGGCUGCAGCGUUGCAGCCGGCUGCUUUAGCCAUCCAGCUGGUGGGAGUGACCC